GCUAAAAAAAAAGGACUAUAGUUACGUUUUAUGGGGGACAAAAAAAAGAAAAAAGGAAAAAAAAAAGAAAAAAAGACAGACUAGUAUCACUAGCAGCCGUUUCAAUUAAUUAUGACAUGUAUAAUAUAUUUCGCAAAUUGAAAUAAAUAAUUAGUAAGAAAACCUUAACGCAUACAUAAAACUUGAUAAAAAAGCAUUUUUAAUAUUCAAAACAAGUAUUUCGUAUUUGAUUUAUACUAUAUAUAUUAUUUAAUUCCAAACGGCAAAAGAAAAGAAACUAUAAAAGAGAAAAUCCUUUAUGUAAAUAUAUAUAUUUUUAUUUUCAUUUUAUUCAUAAAAUUCCAAAACUGGAAACUCAAAUGAUUAAUUUACUUCUUUCAUUUCAAUAUGGAUUUCAUAAUAUAUAAAGAGACAACGAAAAAGCAAGAAAUUAUGUCCCAAACUUCAUUGAAGGGGUGCUUGAAUUGCAGAUGGGUUUCUCUUCCUUGUUCCGUAUUGUCCUCUUCAUUGUAUUGAUUGCUUGUUUGCUAAUCAUGCAAUCAGCCAUGGUUAGUGCACAAGCUCGAAGAACACAACCUGGAAGUCCGCCCACUCCCAGCAGAGCGAAGACUCCAGGAGCUGGCCAUUGAUCAUCCAUCUUUUUUUAUAAAGAAAAAAUAACAAAAAAAAAAAAAUUGUUCUAGCAAUUUUUUAGUUUCUUGUUUUUCAAUGAGAAAAAAUUCUUUUGUAUUAUUUUGUUCAUGGAUUUUUAGCUAAAGAAUGUUGUAAUUCUCACC